rnacentral:tRNA from 3 species
GCCGGGAUGGCGGAAUUGGUAGACGCGCCGGAUUCAAAAUCCGGUGGGGUUAAACCCGUGAGAGUUCGAGUCUCUCUCCCGGCA